GGAGUAGUGUAGUCAACGAGGGUUCUUGUAGCUCUUUUUUGGGCGGAGGUUAAUUGACUAAGCGCAUCCCCAGAACAGUUUCCCCACACACUGCAGCAAUAUUCUAGAGUUGGCUUGGCCAAACUGUUGUAUAAGACAAGUGGGGGUUCAGGUGUUAAGUAGGGUUUAGCACGUUUAACUAGUUCUAGUUUGGUGUUGAAUUUCUUAUUUUUUAUUAUUUCUUAUUUCA